UAGAGUUUGAUCAUGGCUCAGGAUGAACGCUGGCGGCGUGCUUAACACAUGCAAGUCGAACGAUGAAACCCACUUGUGGGUGGAUUAGUGGCGAACGGGUGAGUAACACGUGAGUAACCUGCCCUUGACUCUGGGAUAAGCCUGGGAAACUGGGUCUAAUACCGGAUAUGACUGACUAUCGCAUGGUGGUUGGUGGAAAGCUUUUGUGGUUUUGGAUGGACUCGCGGCCUAUCAGCUUGUUGGUGGGGUAAUGGCCUACCAAGGCGACGACGGGUAGCCGGCCUGAGAGGGUGACCGGCCACACUGGGACUGAGACACGGCCCAGACUCCUACGGGGACGCAGCA
rnacentral:rRNA from 1 species